rnacentral:rRNA from 1 species
GAUGAACGCUGGCGGCGUGCCUAACACAUGCAAGUCGAACGAUGAUCUUUCGGGAUCAUAGUGGCGGACGGGUGAGUAACACGUUAGUACCUGCCCUUUAGUGGGGAAUAACCCGGCGAAAGUCGGGCUAAUACCGCAUGAGACCGUUUACGGUGAAAGCCUUCGGCGCUAAAGGAGGGCUUGCGUCUGAUUAGCUUGUUGGUAGGGUAAUGGCCUACCAAGGCAAUGAUCAGAGCUGGUUCGAGAGGAUGACCAGCCACACU